rnacentral:rRNA from 1 species
GGCGGAUCCGCGGCCGGCUGCAGAGUUUGAUCCUGGCUCAGAGCGAACGCUGGCGGCGUGCCUAACACAUGCAAGUCGAGCGGACUAUAGGAGAGGAAACUCUUCUUAUAGUUAGCGGCGAACGGGUGAGUAACACGUGGGUAACCUACCCUUAGACGGGGGAUAACUCAAGGAAACUUGAGCUAAUACCCUAUAUGGCCCCGGGCUGAAAGGCUUGUGGUAAAAGGAGGGAUCCCUCUAAGGGUGGGCCCGCGGCCUUUCAGGUGGUUGGUUGGGUAAUGGCCUUCCCGCCUUUGGCGGGUUGCCGCGCUGAGAGGCUGGCCGGCCCCCCUGGGGCUGGGGCGCGGCCCCGACUCCUUCGGGAGGCCGCCGUGGGGGAUCUUGGGCCAUGGGCGGCGGCUGACCCCGCGACGCCGCGUGGGGGACGAGGCCUUCGGGU